GUGUACUUACCUGUCCGAGGCUUACCUCCUGGUGAGCUGUCAUGCCCUUUACUGGGUGUGGCAGGGAACCAGGACUUUUACUUUGAAAAAAUUAGAGUGUUCAAAGCAGGCCUACGCCCGAAUACAUUAGCAUGGAAUAAUAAAAUAGGACGUGCGGUCCCAUUUUGUUGGUUUCUGAGAUCGCCGUAAUGAUUAAUAGGGAUAGUUGGGA
rnacentral:rRNA from 1 species